CCCGUCAUGCCUUGCGAGAGCAGUAGAGCGGUCCUCACGGGAAAGUUCUAGAGCGGCUGGCAGGAGGAAGGCCGAGGCCGAUGAUGUCGGAAAAGAAGCAGCCCGUAGAUUUGGGGCUUCUGGAAGAGGACGACGAGUUCGAGGAGUUCCCCGCCGAAGACUGGGCUGGUUUAGAUGAAGAUGAAGAUGCACACGUAUGGGAGGACAACUGGGACGAUGACAACGUGGAGGACGAUUUCUCCAAUCAAUUAAGAGCUGAAUUAGAAAAACACGGCUACAAGAUGGAAACUUCAUAGCGUCCACUGAAUGUCCCCUGAGGCUGGACUGUAAACUUAACUCAGUAUGGAAUGCAAGAUGGAAGAUCAGACACUGGACUGUCUAUUGUUACCUAAACUUUGUUUUGUAUAAAUAAAAAAUGGAAUCGA